rnacentral:lncRNA from 1 species
AAAAAAAAAAAAAAAAAAAAAAAAAAAAAAAGAGGUUUUAUCCCAAUGAAUUUGUAAUCCCUGUCCUAAACCCCAAAUCUGCCUCGGGAUUUACAGCUCUGAGUCCCUCCUGGUUUGGAACAAAGCCAAGGAAUGCUGGUAGUGGGUGCUGCUCUUCCCAGAAAUGUGUGUGGAGUUCUCCUCCUGCUUGUGGUUAAUCAGGGACCUGCUGCAUCCUGGAUGUUGGACAUCGGAGAUCCGGCACUGGUUUGGAAUUCCUGUGGGAAUUCUGAGGUUGGGAUAUUUCUCCUUCUGGGAGACGCCUGAGGAGAAGCAGAGAUGUCACCCCAUCCCAGUGUCAGAAAAAUCCCAAAAAAAGAGGGAAAAAUCAGCUCCUUCUGCAAAAACCUUUGGAUUUCCUCUGGCUCCUUCCUCUCUCAGGUGUGGGAUCUGAAAAUCUGGGAAUGGGAAAGGAUCUGCAUCUUUCAGAGCCCAUUUAAUAUUCCAAGGUCCUGAAAUAUGAAAUUCCUACAGAACUGGAGAACCCAUCCAGAAAUUUUUGUGGAAGCUCUACAAAGACUUUGAAAGUUUUGAUGACUUCAAAUCUAAAUCUAAUAUAUUGCCCUUAAAAUCCAUAUUUCCACCAUUAAAUCCAUAUUUUCCUUAUUAAAUCCGUAUUUAUAUCCCUGAACUCCAGGCAGGAUGGAUUUGGAGCAGUUUGGGGAAGGAGAAAUUGACCCAAUCCUAUAAAUUUUGGGAUCUUUAUCCCAAAUGAUGUCACACCACUUUGGGAUCCAGUGGAUCCACCCAGAGCUGUGGCACUCCCAGGAAAUCAUGGAAUGUGGGAUUAUCUUAUUUUAUCCAUGGAAAAUCCGCCUUUUCCCUUUCCCCCCAUUUUUAAUUCCAUUUUUUUAGGUAACUCCAGCAAAUCAUGGAACGCGGGAUCAGUUUAUUUUAUCCAUGGAAAAUCCACCUUUUCCCAUUUUUUAAUUUCUUUUUUUUUAGGUAACUUCAGGAAAUCAUGGAAUGUGGGAUUGGUUUAUUUUAUCCAUGGAAAAUCUGCUUUAUUCCCCAUUUUUAAUUUAAUAUUUUAGGUAACUCCAGGAAAUCAUGGAAUGCGGGAUUGCUUUAUUUUAUCCAUGAAAAAUCUGCCUUUUCCCCCAAAUUUUAAUUUCUUUUUUUUUUUUUUUUGGUAACUCUGGAAAUGCCCCUUCCUGAUAACGAGGAUUCCCAAUUCCUUUUCCUCCAUGGGGAGUCAUAAAAUUUGGGAUGGAUCCAGGCUCCACAACAGGUCCGGGCACAAACUGGGGAGGAAUCCAUGGAGACCUCCGGGGGAAUUUCAGGAGAUGGAAGGUAAUUAACGCCCAUUGGAAUUUGAAUUUCACUGGGCUUCCGAAGCUCUACUGGUGGGAUCUGGGGUAGGAUCUGAAUAAUUCCAGCUCUGUCAUCCUAAAUGGGUGGAAAUUGGGAUCCUCAGAAGGAAUUUGCUUGGCAAAUUCCAAAAUGUUGCCCAGGAGGUUGGGAAAAAGCAGCUUCCCAUUCCUCAUCCUGCUGCUUUCUCUCAGGAAGAAGGAAAUGGAAAAAUUCCUUUCUGGAAAUAGAAAUACAAAAAAAUUAUUGAUAUAAAAUGUGAAUAAUAAAUUUAGGGGGAAAUAUUCCUGGAAAUCCCA